GUGCUCGCUUCGGCAGCACAUACACCAAGAUUGGAACGAUACCGAGAAGGUUAGCAUAGUUCCUGCACAAGGAUGACACGCACAUUCGUGAAGCGUCCCAUAUUUAA